rnacentral:rRNA from 1 species
GACGAACGCUGGCGGCGUGCUUAACACAUGCAAGUCGAACGAUGAACUUGGAGCUUGCUCUGGGGGAUUAGUGGCGAACGGGUGAGUAACACGUGAGUAACCUGCCCUGGACUCUGGGAUAACUUCGAGAAAUCGGAGCUAAUACCGGAUAGGUCCUUGCACCGCAUGGUGUGGGGUGGAAAGGUUUUCGGUUUGGGAUGGACUCGCGGCCUAUCAGCUUGUUGGUGAGGUAAUGGCUCACCAAGGCGUCGACGGGUAGCCGGCCUGAGAGGGUGACCGGCCACACUGGGACUGAGACACGGCCCAGACUCCUACGGGAGGCAGCAGUGGGAAAUAUUGCACAAUGGGCGCAAGCCUGAUGCAGCAACGCCGCGUGCGGGAUGACGGCCUUCGGGUUGUAAACCGCUUUUAGUAGGGAAGAAGCCUUCGGGUGACGGUACCUGCAGAAAAAGGACCGGCUAACUACGUGCCAGCCGCCGCCGUAAAAC